CCCUGGUGUACGACCUUCUGUGGACAUGGAAGGGAGUUGUAUUACGUUGACUGAAAACUUGUGAAGUACAUUACAGAAGAAACAGUGAGGAUGGACUUGUGCAACCAACAGUGGGAGUAUGGAGCCCUGGCAGCAUCAACAUCACCAUAAAGAUAAAACAG